rnacentral:rRNA from 1 species
AACGAACGCUGGCGGCGCGCCUAAUACAUGCAAGUCGAGCGAGAAGGUGUAGCAAUACACUUGUAAAGCGGCGAACGGGUGAGGAAUACAUGGGUAAUCUACCAUCGAGUGGGGAAUAACCAGCCGAAAGGUUGGCUAAUACCGCGUACGCUUCCGAGUCUUCGGGCUUGGAAGGAAAGCCGCACUGUGAGUGCGGCGCUCUUUGAUGAGCUCAUGUCCUAUCAGCUUGUUGGUAGGGUAACGGCCUACCAAGGCUUUGACGGGUAGCUGGUCUGAGAGGACGAUCGGCCACACUGGCACUGCGACACGGGCCAGACUCCUACGGGAGGCAGCAGUAAGGAAUAUUGCGCAAUGGGCGAAAGCCUGACGCAGCGACGCCGCGUGGGGGAUGAAGGUCUUCGGAUUGUAAACCCCUUUCGGGAGGGAGAUGGAGCGAGCAAUCGUUCGGACGGUACCUCCAGAAGCAGCCACGGCCAACUUCGUGCCAGCA